GACGAACGCUGGCGGCGUGCUUAACACAUGCAAGUCGAACGGAAAGGCCCUGCGUUUGUGGGGUUCUCGAGUGGCGAACGGGGGAGUAACACGUGAGUAACCUGCCCCUGACUUUGGGAGAACUUCACGAAACUGGGGCUAAUAUCGCAUAGGAUCUCCUGCUGCAUGGUGGGGGUUGGAAAGUUUCGGCGGUUGGGGAUGGACUCGCGGCUUAUGAGCUUGUUUGUGGGGUAGGUGCUGACCACGGCUUUGACGGGUAGCCGGCCUGAGAGGGUGAACGGCGACAUUGGGACUGCGAUAGGGACCAGACUGCUACGGGAGGCAGCAGGCGGGAGUAUUGCACAGUGGGCGGAAGCCUGAUGUAGAAACCCCGCGUGCGGGAUGACGGCCUUCGGGUUGUAAACCGCUUUCGACUGUGACGAAGCGUGAGUGACGGUAAUGGGUAAAGAAGCACCGGCUAACUACGUG
rnacentral:rRNA from 1 species